rnacentral:rRNA from 1 species
CCCUGGCUCAGGAUGAACGCUGGCGGCGUGCUUAACACAUGCAAGUCGAACGAUGAUCCCAGCUUGCUGGGGGAUUAGUGGCGAACGGGUGAGUAACACGUGAGUAACCUGCCCUUAACUCUGGGAUAAGCCUGGGAAACUGGGUCUAAUACCGGAUAUGACUCCUCAUCGCAUGGUGGGGGGUGGAAAGCUUUAUUGUGGUUUUGGAUGGACUCGCGGCCUAUCAGCUUGUUGGUGAGGUAAUGGCUCACCAAGGCGACGACGGGUAGCCGGCCUGAGAGGGUGACCGGCCACACUGGGACUGAGACACGGCCCAGACUCCUACGGGAGGCAGCAGUGGGGAAUAUUGCACAAUGGGCGAAAGCCUGAUGCAGCGACGCCGCGUGAGGGAUGACGGCCUUCGGGUUGUAAACCUCUUUCAGUAGGGAAGAAGCGAAAGUGACGGUACCUGCAGAAGAAGCGCCGCUAACU